rnacentral:snRNA from 1 species
GUGCUUGCUUCAGCAGCACAUACACUGAAAUUGGAGCAAUACAGAGAAGAUUAGCAUGGCCCCUGGCUCAAGGAUGACAUGCAAAUUUGUGAAGCAUUCCAUAUUUUU